rnacentral:pre_miRNA from 13 species
GAGUGGUGGCUUGGUGGUCGUAUGUAUGACGUCAUUUACUUGGACUUAUAGGAGUGACAUCAUAUGUACGGCUGCUAAACUGCUGCAUGAGA